rnacentral:rRNA from 1 species
GUGGGGAAUUUUGGACAAUGGGCGAAAGCCUGAUCCAGCCAUGCCGCGUGCAGGAUGAAGGCCUUCGGGUUGUAAACUGCUUUUGUACGGAACGAAAAGACUCUGGUUAAUACCUGGGGUCCAUGACGGUACCGUAAGAAUAAGCACCGGCUAACUACGUGCCAGCAGCCGCGGUAAUACGUAGGGUGCAAGCGUUAAUCGGAAUUACUGGGCGUAAAGCGUGCGCAGGCGGUUAUAUAAGACAGAUGUGAAAUCCCCGGGCUCAAGCUGGGAACUGCAUUUGUGACUGUAUAGCUAGAGUACGGCAGAGGGGGAUGGAAUUCCGCGUGUAGCAGUGAAAUGCGUAGAUAUGCGGAGGAACACCGAUGGCGAAGGCAAUCCCCUGGGCCUGUACUGACGCUCAUGCACGAAAGCGUGGGGAGCAAACAGGAUUAGAUACCCUGGUAGUCC